rnacentral:lncRNA from 10 species
CUGCGCCCUUGUUUGGACAAGACGAGGAGGCGCACUCAGAGUCAGAGACCCCGGGGCAGAGACAGGGGCAAGAAGAAGGGGCCACCGAGACCCCAAGAGAGUCAGGGAGACAGACGCACCAAACGACCGACACAACCAGGGACAGGGAGGAAGCUCCGGGCGGGAGAGCCGCGUCCACUCCUCUUUCCAGACUAUGAUGGGGCCCAGGGACCCCUCCCCUCCGACUGAGCCCCAUAGACCCCCUACUCAGGCCAGAAGGGGAAAGCUGAGCUCCUGCUGGCCCAGGCAUCAGAAUUCCUGAGGGAGGAAAAGUUGCCUAUCUGUUGGGUCAGAUUUCUGAAGACUGAUGAGGCCCAUUUUCUGGUUCAAGCAAUUCUCCUGCCUCAGCCUCGCGAGUAGCUGGGAUUACAGGUAUCCUUCGAGUUGGAUUUCGACUGGGUUCUGCCAGUGGGAUGUAUCCAUGCGAGAUUCUGGAACUAACAUCAGAGAGAGUCCAAGCUUCUAACUUUUAUCAGCGGCAGUGACAAUAGUCAAGCAGCAUUGAUGGCAAACGGCAAGAGUUUAGAAAGUACCAGUGACGUGCCUGAUAGAAUCUCACCACAAGAUGGAAGCCAACUCGUCAGAAGCCUGGAAAGCCCACCCAGCGUGGGACCUCUGUGGGUCCAGGAUCUUGGAAUGGUAUCCCAUGGUUCAAUCUUCUGGAUUCAACCACAUAAAUUUACCCCACCCAUGUCGUGGACCCAAGCUUCCUACCAUGUAUACUUAGCUUAAAUGCAAGAUAGUACUAUUUUGUUCAUCUUGAUUGGAGUGAGAAAUGAAUAGGUCCAUGCACAUAUAUUUCUUUUACCACAACAAGAUGAUGAAGAAAUAAAUCCAUAAUAUCGAUAC